rnacentral:misc_RNA from 1 species
AGCAGGUACAGCAUGUUACGAUGUGUUGGUCGAUGUGCCUUUCCCAAUUCACAGGGAAUUGUCUGCUCUAUUAGCCAAUGCAGAGAAGAACAAGGAGAUUGAUGCAUGUGAUGAAGCAAUUUGUACCGCUAUAAGGAAAAUUCACGAGCAUCGACGGAGACGUGCAUUUUUCCUUGGGUUCAGUCAGUCACCGGUGGAGUUUAU